UACGUAGGGUGCAGGCGUUAAUCGGAAUUACUGGGCGUAAAGCGUGCGCAGGCGGUCUUUUAAGUCAGAUGUGAAAUCCCCGGGCUCAACCUGGGAAUGGCGAUGGAUACUGGCUCGCUAGAGUGUGAUAGAGGAUGGUGGAAUUCCCGGUGUAGCGGUGAAAUGCGUAGAGAUCGGGAGGAACAUCAGUGGCGAAGGCGGCCAUCUGGAUCAACACUGACGCUGAGGCACGAAAGCGUGGGGAGCAAACAGG
rnacentral:rRNA from 1 species